UUCAGGACCUUCACUAGUGUUCAAACCUUUUCCAAGUGUUAUGAGUGGAAUGCAGGAAUUUUCAAGUCACAAAAGUUGCUCAUGUGCUCUAGUACUGAUUCAGUGGAUUGUGAAUCCUUGCCCAGGGUCUCAGUGCAUUUCAUGGUCUCCUCCAGUUACAGUUGGGCUCAGACUGUUCCCCCAGAGUCUUAGUGUUUUUCUUCUUUUCAUAAUGCAUUAAGUACUACCAUUAGACAUUCCCAGCUUACUAGUGUGGUUCAGGUUGUUUCUCAGGUUUUCAAAGAGCCAAAGACUUUUCCCAUGGCCUCUGUGGAACUCAUGGCCAUGAUCAGUCUCUCCAUUUUUCUCAAGGCCUCUUUCAGUGUCUCAGUCAAGUUCAGUGCUAUUUCUAAGGGGUCAGCUUAAACUAGAUAAUUCCCCAAUGACACACUAGAUUCAGGGUUUCUGCCACGGUUUCAGAAAUAUCUUAGCACCUUCCCCAUGUUGUCAUUAGAGUUCAUUGUCUAACCCAGGAUCACAGUGUUGCUCAGGACCAACCCACUUUAUUACUGUUAGAACAAAGAGACUAUGCUGGAGGCAAACUUCCCAGAUCAUUUUUGCCCUUAUUCAGGAACAGGACUUCACCAAUGAAAAUGCACCCACUUUACUGGUGGAACAUGAGCUACAAAGGAGGGAAAUGGGCUUAUAUAGGUCAUGGGUGAUUUAGUGAGCAUGUCAGUGUGGGCUCUCAGGGAUUUGAAUCCUUGUGCUGAAGUGUUGGUGGCCAGCACUGGGAGAGGAGUUGUAUUAAAGGAAAUCAAUGUUUCCUAGAAACUAUCACUUCUAGGUUUGCUGAGACUCUUCCUCCCUUCCUGUGGUCAGUGUCUG
rnacentral:lncRNA from 1 species